rnacentral:tRNA from 2 species
UGCCCUAUGAUUUGUAAUGGUAGCAAGGGAGGCUCUAACCCUCCAGGUCUGGGUUCGAAUCCUAGUGGGGCGA